rnacentral:rRNA from 1 species
GACGAACGCUGGCGGCGUGCUUAACACAUGCAAGUCGAACGGAAAGGCCCUGCUUUUGUGGGGUGCUCGAGUGGCGAACGGGUGAGUAACACGUGAGUAACCUGCCCUUGACUUUGGGAUAACUUCAGGAAACUGGGGCUAAUACCGGAUAGGAGCUCCUGCUGCAUGGUGGGGGUUGGAAAGUUUCGGCGGUUGGGGAUGGACUCGCGGCUUAUCAGCUUAUUGGUGGGGUAGUGGCUUACCAAGGCUUUGACGGGUAGCCGGCCUGAGAGGGUGACCGGCCACAUUGGGACUGAGGUACGGCCCAGAGUGCUACGGGCGGCAGCAGUGGGGAAUAUUGCGCAAUGGGCGGAAGCCUGAUGCAGCAACGCCGCGUGCGGGAUGACGGCCUUCGGGUUGUAAACAGUUUUGGCCUGUGACGAAGCGUGAGUGACGGUAAUGGGUAAAGAAGCACCGGCUAACUACGUG